AUUGAACGCUGGCGGCAGGCCUAACACAUGCAAGUCGAGCGCAGUGGGGACGGGUGAGUAACACGUGGGUAACCUCCCCUCAGAGGGGAUAACACUUGGAAACAGGUGCUAAACCGAUCCUGAUGGCUGGCCCCGCGGUGCAUUAGCUAGUUGGUGAGGGAACGGCUCACCAAGGCCACGAUGCAGAGCCGAACUGAGAGGGUGAUCGGCCACACUGGGACGGAGACACGGCCCAGACUCCUACGGGAGGCAGCAGUAGGGAAUCGUCGGCAAUGGACGAAAGUCUGACCGAGCAACGCCGCGUGAGUGAAGAAGGUUUUCGGAUCGUAAAACUCUGUUGUUAGAGAAGCGGUAUCUAACCAGAAAGCCACGGCUAACGACGUGCCAGCAGCCGCGGUAAUAC
rnacentral:rRNA from 1 species